rnacentral:rRNA from 1 species
GGGGUGCUCGAGUGGCGAACGGGUGAGUAACACGUGAGUAACCUGCCCUUGACUUUGGGAUAACUUCAGGAAACUGGGGCUAAUACCGGAUAGGAGCUCCUACUGCAUGGUGGGGGUUGGAAAGUUUCGGCGGUUGGGGAUGGACUCGCGGCUUAUCAGCUUGUUGGUGGGGUAGUGGCUUACCAAGGCUUUGACGGGUAGCCGGCCUGAGAGGGUGACCGGCCACAUUGGGACUGAGAUACGGCCCAG